CCAAGUGGGUAUCUAAGGGCUGCCCCAGAGAACUGUUUAGAAGUUGGAAGGGACCCCCAAAGGCCCUCUAGUCUGACCCAUGGGCCAAAGCCUUUCCCAGCCAUGCCAAUCCCUGUUGUGUCUUUCCAGUUGCCCAAGUUUUGGCUGAAGAUGAUUCCUUGACUCUCCCCGUGGAUGUUGCCAAGGGGAAGACGGGCUUCUUCAGGAAGAUGUUUCACGGUGAGAUGGGCUCCUUCCCCGCUUUCUGGGGACCUGUCCCGUUCAAGAUUUCCAUUGUGACCCCUCUGUUCUCCCUCUGUUCACCAGCGGCCAUACAUCUGGUGUGGAGCGGUUCUGCCAAUGCCACCCAAGUGGCGGCACCCAAGGCCCCGGCGGUGGCAGCGGCGACGACAAGGACACCAUCUCCAACCCAGGCCCAUGUCUGUGCUACCCGCGUCAAAAUGGGGCCGGAGCUGAACUUCUCUCUCCAGCUCCUCAACGAGGACCUCAGUGUCUCGGUGGAACCCGGCGCUUACCUCCAAGGCGAAGCCAUCCGGAUCCAGGCCUCCCUCCAGGCAGAAGCCGGGUUCUUCCCGAAACUGUUCAUAGACAGAUGCUACGUGCUGGACAACCCACAACAGAGCCAGUCCCGGGCACUCUUCUUCAUUGUGGACAACCAUGGGUGAGCUGGGCGGCACUGGGAGGCCACCCUCAGAGCUGGGGCAGGGAGAAAGCAGGCCUCCGAGCUGGAGAAAGGGGACAUUCAUAGAUAUCUUGGAGCUGGAGAAGGGAGAAAGUGGACCUCAGAGCUAUGGAAAGGAGAAAGUAGGCCUUUCUCAGAGCUAGAGAAGGGAAAAAGCAGGAAGUCUUCUUGUAGCAGGAGAAAGGAGGCCUCCUCAGAGCUGGGGAAGGGGGAAGGCAGCAGUCCCAACAGUCUAGUUGGUAUCUAUCAGUAUACGUCUGACCAAUCCCAAGGUUAUCCAUUCAUCCUUUGGACAAAACUGGACUCUCCUGGAGGAUGUCCUUCCCAUUGGGACUCCUUUCUGCUGCUCGGAUGGAUGUCCUUUCCACUUUGGAACCAUUUCUGGGGUGAAGUGACCCCUGGUUUUGCCCCGCAGGUGCCUCUACCCCGGCAACUUGAAGGCGGCCUGGUUCCGUCAAGAGGACCCGGCCGUGGUGCUGACCAUGCAGACCCGCGCUUUCUGGCUGGAUGACAAAACCCCCGAGGUAGGCACGAGGCGGGCAGGUGUCCCUCCCAAUGGGCCGCAGCUCCCCAGACACC
rnacentral:lncRNA from 1 species